GAUCAGUCCAAAUCGAUGUAUGUCUGUGUCCCUGAGACCCUUAACCUGUGAUGUCUUCCAAGGUCACAGGUGAGGUCCUUGGGAACACGGCUGUAUAUGAUGACGUC
ensembl:miRNA mir125a-2 microRNA 125a-2